AUUGAACGCUGGCGGCAGGCCUAACACAUGCAAGUCGAGCGGAUGAAGGGAGCUUGCUCCUGGAUUCAGCGGCGGACGGGUGAGUAAUGCCUAGGAAUCUGCCUGGUAAUGGGGGAUAACGUCCGGAAACGGGCGCUAAUACCGCAUACGUCCUGAGGGAGAAAGUGGGGGAUCUUCGGACAUCACGCUAUCAGAUGAGCCUAGGUCGGAUUAGCUAGUUGGUGGGGUAAAGGCCUACCAAGGCGACGAUCCGUAACUGGUCUGAGAGGAUGAUCAGUCACACUGGAACUGAGACACGGUCCAGACUCCUACGGGAGGCAGCAGUGGGGAAUAUUGGACAAUGGGCGAAAGCCUGAUCCAGCCAUGCCGCGUGUGUGAAGAAGGUCUUCGGAUUGUAAAGCACUUUAAGGUGGGAGGAAGGGCAGUAAGUUAAUACCUUGCUGUUUUGACGUUACCAACAGAAUAAGCACCGGCUAACUUCGUG
rnacentral:rRNA from 1 species